rnacentral:piRNA from 1 species
UUGUAAAAACUGAAGAAUUUUGA